CCUACGGGAGGCAGCAGUGGGGAAUAUUGGACAAUGGGGGGAACCCUGAUCCAUCUCCUCCUCUUUCGUGAAGAAGUAUUUCGGUAUGUAAAGCUCUAUCAGCAGGGAAGAAAGAAAUGACGGUACCUGACUAAGAAGCCCCGGCUAACUACGUGCCAGCAGCCGCGGUAAUAAGUAGGGGGCAAGCGUUAUCCGGAUUUACUGGGUGUAAAGGGAGCGUAGACGGUUACGCAAGUCUGGAGUGAAAGGCGGGGGCCCAACCCCCGGACUGCUUUGGAAACUGUAUAACUGGAGUGCAGGAGAGGUAAGUGGAAUUCCUAGUGUAGCGGUGAAAUGCGUAGAUAUUAGGAGGAACACCAGUGGCGAAGGCGGCUUACUGGACUGUAACUGACGUUGAGGCUCGAAAGCGUGGGGAGCAAACAGGAUUAGAUACCCUUGUAGUC
rnacentral:rRNA from 1 species